GACGAACGCUGGCGGCGUGCUUAACACAUGCAAGUCGAACGAAAAGAGGGAAAGAGCUUGCUCUUUCCGGAAUUGAGUGGCAAACGGGUGAGUAACACGUAAACAACCUGCCUUCAGGAUGGGGACAACAGACGGAAACGACUGCUAAUACCGAAUAAGUUCCAAGGGCCGCAUGGCCCAUGGAAGAAAAGGUGGCCUCUACCUGUAAGCUAUCGCCUGACGAGGGGUUUGCGUCUGAUUAGCUGGUUGGAGGGGUAACGGCCCACCAAGGCGACGAUCAGUAGCCGGUCUGAGAGGAUGAACGGCCACACUGGAACUGAGACACGGUCCAGACUCCUACGGGAGGCAGCAGUGGGGAAUCGUCCGCAAUGGGCGAAAGCCUGACGGAGCAACGCCGCGUGAGUGAUGACGGCCUUCGGGUUGUAAAACUCUGUGAUCCGGGACGAAAAGGCAGAGUGCGAAGAACAAACUGCAUUGACGGUACCGGAAAAGCAAGCCACGGCUAACUACGUG
rnacentral:rRNA from 1 species